rnacentral:rRNA from 1 species
AACGUAGGAGACAAACGUUAUCCGGAGUUACUGGGCGUAAAGGGCGUGUAGGUGGUUUCGUAAGUCUGGCGUGAAAUUUCUCGGCUUAACCGAGGCAGGUCGUCGGAUACUGCGAGGCUAGAGGACGGUAGAGGCGUGUGGAAUUCCGGGUGUAGUGGUGAAAUGCGUAGAUAUCUGGAGGAACACCGGUGGCGAAGGCGGCAUCCUGGACCGAUACUGACGCUGAGGAGCGAAAGCCAGGGGAGCAAACGGG